GACAGAGGAUGCAAGCGUUAUCCGGAAUGAUUGGGCGUAAAGCGUCUGUAGGUGGCUUUUUAAGUCCGCCGUCAAAUCCCAGGGCUCAACCCUGGACAGGCGGUGGAAACUACCAAGCUGGAGUACGGUAGGGGCAGAGGGAAUUUCCGGUGGAGCGGUGAAAUGCGCAGAUAUCAGGAGGAACACCGGUGGCGAAGGCGGGUCUCUGGGCAGUACUGACGCUGAGGAGCGAAAGCGUGGGGAGCGAACAGG
rnacentral:rRNA from 1 species